rnacentral:misc_RNA from 1 species
GAUGAAGAACGUAGCGAAAUGCGAUACGUAAUGUGAAUUGCAGAAUUCAGUGAAUCAUCGAAUCUUUGAACGCAUAUUGCGCUCUCUGGUAUUCCGGAGAGCAUGCUUGUUUGAGUAUCAGUAAACACCUCAACUUCCAUAUCUUUUUUGAAAUGGGAGUUGGACUUGAGUGAUCCCAACGCUUUUCCUCACCGAAAAGUGGCGGGUUACUUGAAAUGCAGGUGCAGCUGGACUUUUCUCUGAGCUAUAAGCAUAUCUAUUUAGUCUGCCUAAAAAACAGAUUAUUACCUUUGCUGCAGCUAACAUAAAGGAGAUUAGUUCUUGUGCUGACUGAUGCAGGAUUCACAAAGACAGGCUUCGGCCGACUUUGUAAACUCGAUCUCAAAUCAAGUAAGACUACCCGCUGAACUUAAGCAUACCAAUAAGCGGAGGA